rnacentral:tRNA from 1 species
GGGCUUGUAGCUCAGGUGGUGAGAGCGCACGCCUGAUAAGCGUGAGGUCGAUGGUUCGAGUCCAUCCAAGCCCACCA